UACGUAGGGUGCAAGCGUUAAUCGGAAUUACUGGGCGUAAAGCGUGCACAGGCGGUUUUGUAAGUCUGUCGUGAAAUCCCCGGGCUCAACCUGGGAAUUGCGAUGGAGACUGCAAGGCUAGAAUCUGGCAGAGGGGGGUAGAAUUCCACGUGUAGCAGUGAAAUGCGUAGAGAUGUGGAGGAACACCGAUGGCGAAGGCAGCCCCCUGGGUCAAGAUUGACGCUCAUGCACGAAAGCGUGGGGAGCAAACGAGG
rnacentral:rRNA from 1 species